UGCAGGGAUGAAAUGUGCCCCCUCUCUCUCAUUCAGGACAUGCUGGAGAGCUGGUGGCCUGGCAGGCAGAGAGGAAGGCGAGAGGACCAAGAGAGAGCAAGUUAAACAGCCAAGCCAGAACAGGAGAAGUGAGAGCAGAGAGAAGAAGGAGGAAAAGAAGAGAAAGAGAGAGCCUCUCCUGGAGGCAAUAACGACCGGAAGGGCUACAAGUCCGGAUGCGGGGUGGCAGCCGUGCAGAUGCCACUGCUAAGGUUGGUGGGUUAAUGAACGAGGGGAGA
rnacentral:lncRNA from 1 species